AUGCUGGGUACAGGCGCAUGCUGGGUACAGGUGCGUGCUGGGUACAGGCGCGUGCUGGGUACAGGUGCAUGCUGGGUACAGGCAUGUGCUGGGUACAGGCACGUGCUGGGUACAGGUGCAUGCUGGGUACAGGCACGUGCUGGGUACAGGCGCGUGCUGGGUACAGGCACGUGCUGGGUACAGGUGCAUGCUGGAUACAGGCGCAUGCUGGGUACAGGUGCAUGCUGGGUACAGGCACGUGCUGGGUACAGGCGCGUGCUGGGUACAGGCGCGUGCUGGGUACAGGUGCGUGCUGGGUACAGGUGCAUGCUGGGUACAGGUGCGUGUUGGGUACAGGCAUGUGCUGGGUACAGGUGCAUGCUGGGUAGAGGAACGUGCUGGGCACAGGUGCAUGCUGGGUACAGGUGCAUGCUGAGUACAGGUGCGUGCUGGGUACAGGCACGUGCUGGGUACAGGUGCAUGCUGGGUAGAGGAACGUGCUGGGCACAGGUGCAUGCUGGGUACAGGCGUGUGCUGGGUACAGGCAUGUGCUGGGUACAGGUGCAUGCUGGGUACAGGCACGUGCUGGGUACAGGCACAUGCUGGGUAGAGGAACGUGCUGGGCACAGGUGCAUGCUGGGUACAGGUGCAUGCUGGGUACAGGCAUGUGCUGGGUACAGGCGCAUGCUGGGUACAGGCGCAUGCUGGGUACAGGCGCAUGCUGGGUACAGGUGCAUGCUGGGUACAGGCGCAUGCUGGGUACAGGUGCAUGCUGGGUACAGGCGCGUGCUGGGUACAGGCAUGUGCUGGGUACAGGCGCGUGCUGGGUACAGGCGCAUGCUGGGUACAGGCGCAUGCUGGGUACAGGCAUGUGGGUACAGGCGCAUGCUGGGUACAGGCGCAUGGUCGUUAAGGCAUGUGCUGGGUACAGGCACAUGCUGGGUACAGGCGCAUGCAGGCACAGGCGCGUGCUGGGUACAGGUGCAUGCUGGGUACAGGCGCGUGCUGGGUACAGGCGCAUGCUGGGUACAGGCGCGUGCUGGGUACAGGUGCAUGCUGGGUACAGGCGCGUGCUGGGUACAGGCGCAUGCUGGGUACAGGUGCAUGCUGGGUACAGGCAUGUGCUGGGUACAGGCGCAUGCAGGCACAGGUGCAUGCAGGCACAGGCACGUGCUGGGUACAGGUGCAUGCUGGGUACAGGCAUGUGCUGGGUACAGGUGCAUGCUGGGUACAGGCGCUUGCUGGGUACAGGCAUGUGCUGGGUACAGGCGCGUGCUGGGUACAGGUGCAUGCUGGGUACAGGCAUGUGCUGGGUACAGGCGCAUGGUGCUGGGCAGCUGGUCUACACCUGAACUGGUGAUCUGGACAGGAACAACCAGGAGAGCUCCCCCCACACCACUACAGAGGUCUGCUGGGGAGUUUAGAGCCCCACCGGCCCCCAGCCCAGACGCUCCACCCCUCCCCCUCCUCCCCACUGCUUUCCCAACCCUCCGCCCUGACUCCCUGAGCCUGCGGACAAUGCAGAGCCGCGGGACCAAGGCCUCUGGUUCACAAAGCAAACUUGCUCAGGGAGUAGCAGAGGGUGAAGCAGUGCCACCCGCGUCGUGGUUAAGCCAACGCUUGCGAUGCCCGCACCCAUACCAGAGUGCCAGUUUAAGUCCUGGUUCCUCUUCCAAUCCAGCUCCCUGCUAA
ensembl:lncRNA